UGGGGGAAUAUUGGACAAUGGGGGGCCAACCCUGAUCCAGCCAUGCCGCGUGAGUGAUGAAGGGCCUUCGGGUUGUAAAGCUCUUUUGGCGGGGACGAUGAUGACGGUACCCGCAGAAUAAGCCCCGGCUAACUUCGUGCCAGCAGCCGCGGUAAGACGAAGGGGGCUAGCGUUGUUCGGAAUUACUGGGCGUAAAGCGAGUGUAGGCGGUUGCCGUAGUCAGGUGUGAAAGCCUUGAGCUCAACUCAAGAAAUGCACUUGAUACUGGGUGACUAGAGGACCGGAGAGGAUAGUGGAAUUCCCAGUGUAGUGGUGAAAUACGUAGAGAUUGGGAAGAACACCAGUGGCGAAGGCGGCUAUCUGGACGGUUACUGACGCUAAGACUCGAAAGCGUGGGGAGCAAACAGGAUUAGAUACCCUGGUAGUCCACGCCGUAAACGAUGGGUGCUAGACGUUGGCGAGCUUGCUCGUCAGUGUCGCAGCUAACGCGUUAAGCACCCCGCCUGGGGAGUACGGCC
rnacentral:rRNA from 1 species